CGGGAACACAAGUCUCACAGCUUCAUGCUGGUAGCAGAAGCUGCUGAAUUCUACAAGGAUCAGAUUAAAACUUCCUUCGUAUCGCUCACAUUAACGCAAUCGGAGGUCCAGCAAAUGGAGCAGCAACAGAAACAGAAGAUUUCUGGAGUUCUGGAACAGUCACACGACCUUCAGUCCAAGAUCACAUCCCAUUAUGCUGAACUGCACCAG